rnacentral:rRNA from 1 species
CUACGGGGGGCACCAGUGGGGAAUAUUGGACAAUGGGGGAAACCCUGAUCCAGCAAUGCCGUGUGUGUGAAGAAGGCCUGCGGGUUGUAAAGCACUUUCGGUUGGGAGGACUGCUUCUAGCACUAAUAUUGUUGGAAGUUGACGUUACCUUCAGAAGAAGCACCGGGUAACUCCGUGCCAGCAGCCGCGGUAAUACGGAGGGUGCAAGUGUUAAUCGGAAUUACUGGGCGUAAAGCGCGCGUAGGCGGCUAGAUCAGUCGGGUGUGAAAGCCCCGGGCUUAACCUGGGAACUGCAUCCGAUACUGUCUAGCUUGAGUACAGGAGAGGAGAGUGGAAUUCCACAUGUAGCGGUGAAAUGCGUAGAUAUGUGGAGGAACACCAAUGGCGAAGGCAGCUCUCUGGCCUGAUACUGACGCUGAGGUGCGAAAGCGUGGGGAGCAAACAGGAUUAGAUACCCUAGUAGUC